GCUGGAAGGUUUUGUAGGAAC
rnacentral:miRNA from 1 species